rfam:Loxodonta africana cont3.4789, whole genome shotgun sequence.
ACUGGCCCCUUAGGGGAGGACCUCCCUUUGGGAAGGCCUCUGUUGAAUUUGUCUGGCAAAGAGAAACAACUUCCUGAGCUGCCUGUUUGAUAACCCUUCAACACAGCUAAAUGAUGUCUU